UGGGGAAUUUUGGACAAUGGGGGAAACCCUGAUCCAGCCAUCCCGCGUGUGCGAUGAAGGCCUUCGGGUUGUAAAGCACUUUUGGCAGGAAAGAAACGUCAUGGGUUAAUACCCCGUGAAACUGACGGUACCUGCAGAAUAAGCACCGCAUAACUACGUGCCAGCAGCCGCGGUAAUACGUAGGGUGCAAGCGUUAAUCGGAAUUACUGGGCGUAAAGCGUGCGGAGGCGGUUCGGAAAGAAAGAUGUGAAAUCCCAGAGCUCAACUUUGGAACUUCAAUUUUAACGACCGGACUAGGGGGUGUCAGAGGGAGGUGGAAUUCCUCGUGUAGCAGUGAAAUGCGUAGGUAUGCGGAGGAACACCGAUGGGGAAGGCAGCCUCCUGGGAUAACACUGACGCUCAGGCACGAAAGCGUGGGGAGCAAACAGG
rnacentral:rRNA from 1 species